UACGUAGGGUCCGAGCGUUAAUCGGAAUUACUGGGCGUAAAGCGUGCGCAGGCGGUUAUGUAAGACAGGUGUGAAAUCCCCGGGCUUAACCUGGGAACUGCAUUUGUGACUGCAUAGCUAGAGUACGGUAGAGGGGGAUGGAAUUCCGCGUGUAGCAGUGAAAUGCGUAGAUAUGCGGGAGGAACACCGAUGGCGAAGGCAAUCCCCUGGACCUGUACUGACGCUCAUGCACGAAAGCGUGGGGAGCAACAGGAU
rnacentral:rRNA from 1 species